GCGAGGGUUUGUGUUUUUCAGACAAGUACAGUUGCUGUUAGCCCGCAUGCUAGUUAGCAGGGGGAGUAGCAUGCACGCACUUCUGAAACGGGUCGUCAGUCCCGGUGGUGUGACUCUCCACCAGCACCCGGUGCGUGUGUGUUCCUCCACCACCAGUGCUCGGUACAUGUGGCCGGGUGCAUGCGGCUCCAUAGGGAGAACAGGUCUGAAGGAGAAGGUCGUUUGAAGGCGCAGGUUGAGAGAUCCCAGGAAAACAUUGUGUUUAGGGACCGGGGUGGAGGGUCACUUACAGUUUCAGUGUCACAGACGCAGCUUGGGAAUUGGUGAAUAACAGCGAACAGGGGCUCGUAAAGCCGAAUGAAGGCUGCUCAUCACUAAUGCUGUUUAUCUCUUACACUGUACAUCACUAAUACUGUACAACACAAAUAUUGUACAUCACUACUGUACAUCACUAUUAAUUCACAUUUCGACUAGAGGUCCGAGUGCAGGAGGCGAUCAUCACAGUAGACUGUAGGAUACAUAAAAUACCUCACGCAAACGCUCACGAAGUUAUAUGAAUUAAGGACCACUCGGAGAUGAUAGUCAUAUUGAGCAUGAAUUGCAAAAACUUAACUCUGGAACUUUGAGGAUCAUGAGUGUUUUCCAAUGUGGCGCACGUGCAUUCCGAUUUAUCCCCCGGCCAAGGGGAAUAAAUCGAGGACCUAUUUCCUUUGGGAGGCUGAUCACGCACACGCGUAUAAAAGAAUGAGAGCAUCUCUCCCUCUCCGUUCCCCUCUCUCCGCUCCGUGCUGUGCUCACCGUGGAGGGGGGAGUGGCCGUUGUUUACCUCCUCAUGGUUGCCUCUCCGAGCGCACGGGGCGGGACUCUCUAUCGCUCACUUCUGCGCGCGGCUCAUGCGCCCCUCACCUUUGCGUUUUUGAACGGGGAGGGAGGAGGGGGGGUCCGUCCUAUAACAUGUAUGAUGCCUUAUAUCGUGGGUCACAUCUCUGAUGCAUGUAAUAUCAUUUUGUAGUUAUAAUGAGCACCUGCAGUGCCAAGCCAUUCAUCUUGGGUAUUUUCCCAAAGAUAUUCGCCUCCCCUAUUUUAUUAGUUUAUGAUAAAUAGUCAAUAGGCAUAGUCAUUCACUAUUUCUUGAUUGGGCUUAUAAAUGAGACUAAACAGGCUCCAGUCUUGAAUCAAUUAAGCCGGCAGUGUCUUGGGACUUGUUAACUGUUCCCAGUUGUGACGCACACGCGCACACACACACACACACACACACAGCUCGGUAUGAAGCCGGAGAUGAGUCAUGGUGUGUGUGUGUGUGGGCAUAAGCGCUCUCUUUCUGUGACUCAAAUGUCUCCUCAUUAAGUGUAGAUUUUUUCACUCUCUCUUUCUAAAUCCCUUGCUGUGUCUGUAUCUUCCUCUCUGCUACUACCGCCCUACAAGUGAGUAACUCAUCCAUCCAUCUUUAAACUACACACAUCUCCUCUUUCAGGCUAUCUUCCUCUUUCUAUGACCUCCAUCAAAACAAUCCCCCCUUCUCACUCUUUCAACCCCCUGUGGUAUGAACCACAUCUUCGGCUCUUAGAAUCAUCGGGUUUGGCGCGUUAAAUAUCGGUAUGUUUGCUCUGUGGGUUCUGUUUUUGGCACUAGGUGAGCGUGUGCACACGUUGGGCAGCGUGAUUUAUGUGUAGUGUUUGUGGAGGCAGGCGCGUGGCACUGACUCGCCCCUGAGAGGGCCCAUGUGCACACGCACACGUGUGUAUGUUUGGGAGGGAGCGGGUGAAGAGAGCCAGUGGGCCGGUGUUGCCUCUUGCGUAUGUACUGUGCUGAGCCCUGGGCCCUGAUUGGCCAGAAAAAGGGGUAAGGAGCCUACGUCACACGUAGUAUUGCAUUAGCGGCUAGAGGGUGUAGGGCGGGGGGGAGGGGGGGGGGGGGGGGUUGUGUGAGUGGCGGGGGUGGUGCUGGUUACUCAUGAAUGGACUGCUCCUACUGGACACACACACACACACACACACACACACACACACACACACACACACACACACACGCAUAGUUGAAUGUCUAAUAGUCCAUAGAUGCAUAAAAGAUGCAUAACGCAUCCACACACUGCAGCCUCAAUGUGCAUGUGUUUGUGCAUAACUCAGUGUAUGUGCUCGAGAAAUAUGAGAGAUCAGAAGCAUUUUCCAACUGAGUGGAGGAUUGCAUGUGUUGCUGCCCUGCGGCGGGUUGGUUGCUUGGCUGUCAUGUCACCAGCUUGUGCCACACACUAUUCCGCUUACUAACUAGCGCACCAGCAUGCUGGCCACAAGCCUGUUAAUACUAUAGCCCUGGGCUUAUGUUUAGAGAGGACUGUCUCAGGGUGGCUGAAAUGCCUCCCUUGUGUGUUUGAUCCUUUUUAGUUUGUUAAUUUCAUGGCUGUACAUUGGUUGUCUAUUUUUUUAUUUAUUCUGGUCCCUAUAGACAAAAUGUUGUGCUAGGGUAACCAACAGCACGAUGAGUGCUGCGAUGAUAAGUACAUUGGUUAGGAAUCCAGUGGAAUAUAUAGUGUUGUCUGUUUGUUAGUUCUGACUCUCACAAUGUCACUUAAAAUAUCAUAGAAAAUGUAAUGUGCCUUACUUCUUUAAAAUCUAAGCACAUAAAGAUGCCAAGUCUUUCCAUAUGUUUUUGGUAUUAUGAAGAUGGACAACGGUGCAGCUGGGUCUCUGUGAGGUCACUGUUUUGGCAUUGGUUCCAUAAUCACAGUCUCAGAUCAAUGUUGAUUGAUCAAACCGGCAGAUGUAUAUUCAGAACAGGAAGUUUCAUAUGGAAUUUGUAGAUUAAUCUAACAAAAUAAUAUGUAUUGAUUAUUCAUUCAUUCAUUCUCUGAACAUUGUUUCCUCAUUUAUGAAGAAUAAAGCACUAUCUGCUCAUAGCCUCAGAGGCAUGGACUUACUGGUUGCUUUUCUGUGUCGGAUCAUAAUGAUGAAUGAAUUUUUUUUCAGACGAAGCAAAUGCAUUCACACCUUUUGAUUCUGGCAUCACCAUGGAUAUUGAUUUAGGAUUGAAAACAAGUGAUGUUAUUGAGCUUUUCUAUGGCUUGUUGUUAGUAUAGCAUGGUCAUGUAAGAUUACACUAAAAUGAAACCACAGACAUACAGAAUAAGAAGGGGAAACAAAGCCUGCAGGUGAAAAUUUAUGGAAGAGGAGACGGUACUGCAAAGUGAGUGAGGAGAGAUGGGAGGAGAUUUAGGUAGGACAAGAGAAGGUGUGAGACGGUGAGAGAGGGAUGGAUUGAUAAACAAACAGGUGGCGCAGGGUCAACAGAAGUGAAGGGCAAGUCCCUCGUUCCUCCACCUCCUCCGUUUGCUCAUCUCUCUCUUCUCGCUCCUAGUAGCUAAUGAACUCCUACCGCUAGAUUAAUCAUCUAUUCGUCUCUUACGCCUUCUCUUUCUGUCUCUAUGUCUGUGUGUUCUUUAUUUUGAGCCAACUCCGAGCCAACCGUCUUUCUCUCCUUGUCCUCUUUCCUUUUUUUUUUUUUUUUUUUCUCCCUUCAUUUCUGUUUUCCAUUGCUUUGUCCUCUCUCCUUCCCCUCUCCCUCUCUCACCUCCUUCCUUCUUCUCCCCCUCUCCUCUUCUCUGCAGGUUUAUUGGCUGGGCUUCAAUCUCUCCCCGUUUGUCAGCAGAUUUCCAGAGACCAGCAAAAAAAUGGCUUGGUUAGGAAAAAAACAAUUGGAUCGCAGCCUCAUCUUUUCUUGUUAUUAAUCCCUCUUUUCUGUGCCUCUUCCCUCUCUCUCUUCCUCCUUUAAUGUAGUAGUAAGGGUUAUUUAUUAUGUCUCUUGUUUCUCUCUCGCUCUUCUUCCCACAAUGCAGCAGCAGUAGUAGUGUUGUGGCAGCAUCAAUAAAUAUUCUGUUAAUGUCCUGGAACAAGCAAGAUGAUAAUGGAAAUUGUGAUUGCCCUGCCUCCUUUGUUUGGGCCACAGUCCUCUCUGAAACCAGGUGUGUGCAUGUGUGCACUUCUUAGUUACUGCAUCGUUUCCUUCAGCCUUCCUUUAGCCUACUGACUCUUUUGUCAUCGCUUCUUUACCUCCUCAUCUUAUCAGAUCUUGUCCUAUUGGAUGAGUGAUGGUAUUUAAGUUAUCAUAAUGUGUACUUGGCUCAGACUAACCAAACAUGGCACCAGCCCCAGCUCUGUUGAAGCACAGCUUUUUAAAGGACGGUUUCUGAUUGGUUCAAAAAGGUGCCGGAUAAUUUGGCUUGGCAAACAAACAUUGCCUAGCGGUGGUGUCAUAAAUGUUUGGUGUUGUCCCAGUGGUUCAGCGGUUUCUUUGUUGCUCUUUAAAGUGGAAUUAAAACGAGGCUAGAGGUGAAGGUCAAUGUCAACUCUUUACUAUGGUAAGAAGCUCCGACUUUGUACAUAGUCAACGUUGAAGAGUUGUUGUAACACAGAGACGUUGACGUCAGCAGAGUCGCCCGCACUGGGAGUACACAAUCUAUUGUACCACACGUAUUGUACGGAGGCAUGCUCUCCGAUUCUGACUUUAUACUAGAGGCCGGGUAAAUUCCGGAGGGGCGUGUGACGUGUCGGACAUUUGCGUUCACACAUACAGUGGCGCCUCUUGGUAUAAUCCGGAGAAUGUCCGCCUUACAAUGUGAAAGGGCUCUGCUUGUGUGUAAGAACUGACGGAGACCAUUACCACACAUUGCAACACCUUGUGGAUUCACCCUGACACUGUCAAUGCCUUGCUCAUUAUGUGAUGCGGUUAUAUUGUCAAAUAAGAUCAACGAGGAAGUCAGUCACAACCCAGCUCUCAAUAACUAUCCUCUUUAAAAUUGUUAUCCAGAAGCGAUUCCUAUUCAAAUUCUUUCAAAAAAAUCAUCUCCAACCAGCGUUGGCUUUGACCACUACUGAUGUGUGUAAUAAAAAUAUUUUGAUAUUGAUGUGACAAAUGACAUGCCGAUACAGUGGCGAAACAAGGGGUGCAACGACAUUUGUAACGGUGCCACCAAAUGAAAUAGUUUGUAGAAACCCUUGACCAGCGAACUGAAUUGUACAAAUUCUUUACUUGAACCGUUCCAUUACUAGCUGGUACCAAAUGCAAGCCAUAGGCCAAGAGCUCCAAAGGCAAGUGAAGACAACUUGGGACUGAAAGACUGCUUUAGCCAACACUAAACCCCACUGCAUUAUAUUUUUUUCUAAAAUGUUCUUUGCACACAACCCAAAUACUUAAAUGUUCCGCCCAAUACUGGCGUGAAACCAUAACUAAAUAGUUCAAUGUUCUUUGGUCUGUGUCCACGCCGCGGUGCUGGUCAACUGAUGGUUGAGUGAGCGUCCGUGACUAAUUCGAAGUCGAUGAUGCCUAUUUAACCUUCAGACAAACCCUGAACUUUUUCUUUACAGAUUGACUAAACCAGGCAUAUAUUUUUCAAGCAACUCAUUUAGACUAUCAUUUUGUCAGUGAUGAAGUGACACAAAUGUUUUUUAUUUAAGAGGUAUCUUUUACUCGCAAACCUCUAAUAUAAAUGAGCAUACAGGCUUCACAUCAAGACUGCGGUAGGAACUUCAUGUAUUAUCACCCGAAACCAAAUCCCUGAAAAUACCGAUUAUUUUCGUCUUUGUGUUUGUUUUGGCAAAAUCUACCAUAAGCCGCUCUGGAAAAUAAGCUGCAGCGACAGUUUUGGUUCUUAAAACCUGGAUACAAGCCUGGCAUACAACCUUAUUUUCGAAAAAUACAGUAGUUUGAUUAAGUAUUUAAACGUUUUUCAAUAAAAUAUUUUUAUAUAUUUUUAUUUUUAGAAUAUCUUUUUUUAUUGAAAUCAAUCUACAUUUAGGGAAUUUAACAGAAGCUUUUAUCCAAAGCGAAUUACAAUAAGUACAUUUGUCAUAAGAAAUGAAUUGUGUAGGUGACCCUUUUGACAAAAGGGUCAAAACAUCUUAAGGUUUCAUUAAAGUGGGGUGAGAUACUUGAACCUGGGGUCUAGGGCACUGCUCUCAUCCAGGAACUGUUGAAGGGUCAGAACACCUUUCCUCUAGGCUGAUGCUAUCGCCAGUUUGGACGUCCUUCAAAGUCUUGCUCUUUUGCACUUCAUAAAUGUCCGUAUUAUGUGUUUUUAGAGGAAGAAUUACUGACACUGUUCAGCGCUCAGCCAGAUUGGGAGUACCUGGAUCAAAUCUGCUGUCACAGUUACAUUGUGCUCAGUCAGGGUGAUUAUGUCCUCUGUAAUCUUUUUUUAGUCUUCUCUGUAAGUGCUGAGUACACAGCAGUUUGCUGCACCAGGUAGUGCUCCAGCAUGUCAUAACUUGAGUUCCUCCUUGUGGGCUCAUCCGGAAUUAACUUGUGAGACUGGAGAUGAAGCGUCUCUUGUUUGCCUUGAGGAUAUCUGCUACAGUUGUGCCAAACGUGCCUAACCUUCCUCACUUUUCCCGAAGACAAGACAUCUGGUUAAAUCCCAGCUCCUUCUGUGGGGCCAGAUUUAUUGUAUGGGCUGAACACUGUAUCUGUGGUGACAAACCAGCCUCCUUAGUGCAUUCACUGUGUUCCUGGCAACACCUGUCCCCACGGGAUGGUGACGUUUGUCCUACACAACUGCCAUUCCGCCACUGCUUCCCUCAGCACCUCUGCUUGAUUCUCCCCUGUUUGAGUGUCAUACAUUGCUUGAGUUUGUAGCACUGGGUGUUAUUUUCCCCACUGGUCUUUCAUGUGAUGAGCUGUGAUCGUGAUACAACUCCCUCUUGCUCUUGACGUCAACACAUCUCUUGUCAAGGCUUUUCAUUCGAGGUCCGUCUCAAUCAGUGCUUUUGUAUUUGCUAUACAGCGUGGGUAACACGUUUGUACUAGAACACCGUCCGUGUUAAAUUGCUGUGAUCCAGUCUUCUAAAACAGGCUAAAAAUUCUACGUCAAAAACCUUUUGCAUUAGAUUUUUCAUUGCCACUGUAAGUUUAUUAGUACCUUUUUGAAGUUAAUUGUAGCUUGAAUAGAAGGUGGACUAAAUGUGUUUCCUUCCACUUAUUUAUUUCCUUUGUGAUGCUUAUGUGACCUGGCAUGUUGGAUGUGUUGCUGGAGGCGCUGUAUCACACAUGGCAAACGGUCAUUUUCUUAUCAACAACACACCCAGAAUGACAAGCAUAAAUUGGCGCCUGACCGCUAAUGGAUUUCAGGGGCUGAUACCCAUAUUAGGGAGUAAAGACUGUACUUUAUAUGUAUAUAUACAUAUAUAUAUAUAUAUAUACUUUUUUUUUUUUAAAGUUCAUAAAACAAAAUGCAACUUUUUGUUUUCAUUAAACUUUCCUUUUAAACGGUAUAAACCCAAUCACCGUACAAUAUCAAUUAAGUUCCAAAAUGCCAGAGAUUCUCUGUGACCCGUCUUGCCUUUCGAGCAGGAAAUUGAUGUGAAUUCAGAUAGAUGGAUAGAUAUAGACACAUAAUCUAGGUCUACUGCCAUCCUUCAGCCUGAUUAACCACAGGGAUUGGACCGCGUCUUUAGUUGGAGAGAAGACGGCUAUUUGUUUCUGCGUCUUGGCGACCCCUGGUUACAUUUUGCAUGGUCUUACCGUAUCCUUUGGUGAGCUCCCCAUGUUUAGAGAUCAUUCACAGAUACGCCUGGGUCUGGCUGCGUCACAGAGCACUUGAUUUCCAUUUUAGCUGCUCCCAGAGGUGUCCGGCGGGGGGGGCCUUAUGGGAACACUGACGCUGAUGACUCACCACUUCCCCACCAUAGCUUCCCAUCACUCAGGUGUGUGUGUGUGUGUGUGUGUGUGUGUGUGUGUGUGUGUGUGUGUGUGUGUGUGUGUGUGUGUGUGUGUGUGUGUGUGUGUGUGUGUGUGUGUGUGUGUGUGUGUGUGUGUGUGUGUGUGUGUGUGUGUGUGUGUGGAGUUGAAGGCUGCUGAUCUAAUAAAGUAGGACUAUUGAUUUUUUCGGUGCAGCACAUACUCUAGACAACAACCCUUUUUCUUCAUAUCAUGGUACUUUCUGUGUGUUUCUGACAAGGCCCAGGCUAGGACUGCACUGUCUGUGGCUCCCAGGGCAAACCUCAUAUCAUCAGAUGGAUGUACUCCAAAAUAAUACCUUUUCUUGACACUGUAGCCCAAUUCUUCCCAAUAUUUUUCCUGUGCACAGAAAUGAAUGUCCUGUAUUGUUUUUAAGUCUGUUAUUUUGGUUUGGCUGAUAUUUAUCCGUGGAACUUCAACUAUCUGUCCAAUGUGCUUAAAUAGCAUUUGUAGCAUUCCCCAAUCCUUGGAUGUAGAAUUUGAAGUCUUAGGUACACAAAACAUGCGUAGUCUGGACUCCAAUGCUGCGACCAACGCUGCUUAAUGAUAUAAAUGGUCUUAUUUGAGUUCCCAAAAGGAGGAUUCGGACAAGCUUUGCACUCCAAUAGUAUUUGGAGCAUUUGCAGGAUCUGGCCUGGCACACUCGAAAGAGUUGCAUGUACCAACAAAAAAAACACAAAUUAUGAGAAAAUACACACAUUUUCUUGCAUAAGGGCCAUAUGUUACUCUACAUAAUACUCAAACGGAGAUGUAACGCGGUUGUUUGGGUCCACCAAAAUAUGACCACGUUAUACCCAGGAGUGCGUUUAAACACUCUUUUCUCUGUCCGUCCUUAAGUGUUAUUAAAGAAAGGAAGAAGUUGAUAAAACCUCCUCUCCUUCUUCUACCUCUGUGGUGGAUGGUGUGCCUGUUGCUGCUGCGAUGAGGGGGCCAUCAGACAGACCUUCAUCUACUCUAGUGUCUGCUCUGAUGUUCAUAUCUGCGGUAAAUAAUUAGAUCCUUAGAUCUCUAAUUAGAUCCUAAAUUAGUGUUUAAUAGGGAAUGCUAUCGAGAAAUCACCACUGUAAAAUUCACAUGCCGACAAAUUGGGGUGCAACGUGUUAUAUCCGAAUUCACGGCAUGUCAAACCUUGUUAUAUCGCAGUUUAAGUAUAUGUUUCCAUGAGUAGCAAUUGGGGAUGAUUAUAAACUACAUCAUCCAGUUCUUCAUAUGAUUGAUGGCGGGGUACACCUCUAUGUUGAAGCAGUGUGCGUGCGUUUAGAAAAGGUAUGUGGUAAAUUGAAACACCCACGAGUCACGACACAAGCAAGUUUUGCUGGUGCUUUCAUGUUUGAGUAGAUUCCACUGGUAUAUCACACUGCCAUGAGCCUCUGUUGAGGUAUUUUUUUUAGUGCAUUGCCUUUCUCUGCGAUCCUCUGCCCUCGUCUCUUCAUCCGUCCUUCUCUUUUCUUGGAAGAAAAAACAAUCUUUGUAUCUUUCACUCUUGUCCCAACAUCAUACUGUUUCCGUGGGUGUCCAGCAAUACAUUUCUUAUAACCCCUUAUUUUAUCCCUCCGUAUCCCAUCCCUUCCCCAGCGUCAUUCCUCCUUCCUUUGAUCCCUCCCUCUGGUCUUUUCUGCUACCUAUUACUCCAUAGCCAAAUGGGGCCCACCUCAACCUGAAGGAUGGAUGGAUAGAUAGAGGAUGGAUGGAGCGUCAGUCCUCCACUGUGUUAAUCACUUCUCCACCAAGAUGACGGAGUCAUGAAGGGGAAGGCUAAGGGUUAUCACUUAUUUACUGAUACUCUUUCAGCCACCCUUCUUUUCCUCUGUAUUUCAGUUUAGUGGAAAAUGCCAGGGAAUCUUUGUUCUCGGAAAUAAUCCAGUAACGUAUGCAUCUUCGUUGUAGUCCAAAAGCAUCACAGCUCUUUCUCGAUCAGUGCGUCCCUCAUUCCAAAAUCGUCCAACAGAUAUGCUGUUUGGUUGUCUAUUCUAGGCCUUAUGUCGUGAUCACUGGACACUUUGUGUAAAGAGGUUUCUUCUCUUCAUCAUCCAGACAUUUCUGCUGUUUUAAAGAAAACCGGGUCUGCAGAAAGCCCCAGCACUGUCUGCUCACCGCUCUGGUUGAAUCAUCUUGUUUUGUUUUCGUUUAUCCGUCAUUCACUGCGAUGCGUUUUCUGGUGGAGACGGGGGAUCGGGACGUGGAUGGCCAUGCCUUCUGCUCCGGGGUGAGGUCCAGGGGGAUUCACCAUUGUGAAGCCGUCAAAUGCAAUCUCUGCCUUACUGGCCAGCCCAAUAUUGUGACGUUCCAACAUGGAGGAGGCACUAGUAGUUAGUUAGAGGAGUAAGCCGAGAUAACUAUCUAAAAUAUCUUACAAUUAAAUGCUAUCAUAAAGCUAGCAUUACCCUGCCUGCCUUACCCAGAUUCAGACUAGACCUUUCAUUCUUUAUUCCUCAUUGUGCGUCCAGAAGGGGGGCUGCUUGGUUAGCAUUUGCUCUCCUGUUAGCAUUGACCUGCAGAGUUAUAGUAGCCUACGGUUCACGUGAGGGGAAUACAUUUAUAUUUACAUUCCAAAAAUUUGUCUACAGUACAAACACGCAUUCAGAUCUAUUUUCUGCGCUGUGAUUGUAAGGGUCCCUGUGAUGCACCGCUGUUUGCCCCCCGCAUGACCCUCCGUGACGUAACCCCUGGUUAAACCCUACCCCUAUACCCAGCCAGAGGCUUCGGAUAACAUAAUGCAAGGUAGCCUAGUAAUCACAGUGUUUAUUCUCCCUCACUCUGUUGAAGGAGCAUGUCUGUGGCGUCCCCGUAAUGAUAGUCACCCUGCCGUUUUCCUCAGGUAAACCGUGGCUUCUUGUGCCGACUGCUAUCGAGAUAAAUGAUCAAUACCUAUAACCGAUGGCGAUAAUGAUAGCUCUAUGAAUGUAGUUUAUCACUGUGGAUGCAAAAGGAGGACUGUGGGUAAAAGACGGGAAUAGGCUGUUACCUUCACCAUGUCCUACAACGUGAGUGACCAUGGCGAAUAUGACAGAUACCUGGUUGUUUUGUCGGCCUGGAUAGUGUCUCGUUCUCACUUCCAUCAACAGCGGGUUUUCUUCUUGAUUUAUUUGUCGUUUCUAUUUGUCCUUCCUUACGCAGCUUUUCUCUCACACUGUCUGACAGUAACUUGCCGCUGUCUCACUCGCUCUCUCUCUUGUUUUAAUGCAGCUCACGGCCAUUAUGAAAAUACAGCAGAAUCGUUGUCAUUUGGAAAUGAGGUCACAGGGUUAUGAAUCGAGAUCGCGAUUUUAACCAGAUUAAUCGUUCAGGCCUAGUGGCAGCUACUGAAAUGUUUUGCAUUGAAAUGCACUUCAUGACGGUCUCCAUCUCCACUGACGUCCAGAUGUCUACUGAGAUGCUGUUGCACUGCACACUUUGUUGUGUUGGUCAUUAUAUUUCAACUGUUUUGGGGAGGAUAUUCUGCGUUGUCAUUUGCAGAUAUGGUCUUUUGAUAAUUGCCGCAUGCAUAUUUAUGGUCGCAUUAAACUUUGUUAUUGCUUCCUCACUAUCUCCUUUACAUUUAUCACUGGGUGGUUUUGAAAACUCGUGCUUCUGCAAUUAUAUUUUCAGGGCCAAGUCUACGUAGCUAUUAUAAAAUACCAUAGUGAUUAUUAUGCUCUACUUAAGGCCUAUUAUUGCUCCAACAUUGACCUUUAAUUAAAGGGGUUAUUAUUAGCAUGUAUGUUUAGAAGCAGGCUCAUUUUAUGUGCAGUAAAGGCAAUACACAUUAGAAAAGCGGUUUCCCCUGUAUGGUAAUGAAGUUAACAGGGCCUGGUUCCGUUAUACUCUAUCUUUGUUUCUAAAUGAAGCAGUCUGCCAUCCUUCUGUCGUAUUCAUAAUGGAUCUACAUUAUUGAGUUCUGGAGAAUCUGGAGUAUUUCCUACCACUGAUUACAUGGAAAAGUGCCACUGGAAGUAAUUCAAAACUUUAAUAAUUUUUGAAUACCAACCCACUGAAUUCAUAUGAUGGGAUACACAGAUAUCUGAAUUUAUAUUGGUUCAACCCUAAUAUAAUGGAUAAUGCCGUCACAUUAUUGGUCCGAUUCCUGGUUGAUUACAAAAACGAUCAUCACCAACAUCCUUCUUUAAUUAAAGGUUACAUUUUGACAUGACAUUUCUAAAGGAGUAAAUCAUUUAGUUGAUGCUUGUUUUAUCUUUAAACUAAAAGUCUAUACUAUCUUUAAUGAUAGAUUGAAUGUUGUCCUUCCGAAGCUAAGCUCUGGAAAAGGAUAUACAUGACUAGAUCUUUGUUGAUCAUGCAAUAAAAUAGGCAUUUUAAUAAAUUGGAAUCUCAGACACAAAGAUUCAAUGCAAUCAACCUCAUAAUCAGUUUUAUGAUGUAAAAAGAGCCAACUUGUUGAAGCUUCCUCAGCAGAACAUCCAAAGGCGUGCAGCAUCUCAGUCAGUGCGUUUACAUGGGACUGCUCGAUCGGAUUAAGCCUUAUACCGAUUUUGCUACUCGAACAGACCCUGUCAAUUAUCCUAACAUACAUGGCCUUUAAAGGGACUCUUACUCUUACUUUGUUGCAUUUUUACACUUUUUUUGGAUACGGUUAAAUUGGUAUUAAUAAGGUAAUAACACUCUAAUAUGCAAGACAGACCCACCAGGAGUAAAAACAAACAAUUAUUUUACUCUCAUAAUAUUUAAUGAAAACUUCAACCAAUAAAAUUCUUCGAACCGAAUGACCUUAUUGGCCGACAGACCUGUCUGUUUGCUGCAUGGAUAUAUAAGGUUUUCCGUCUGCUUCUUGUGGCGCAUUCGGGCCCGCGUCAUCAAGGUGCGUCCUCAACUAGAGGGUUUGUUUUGAUUCCACGGCAGACAGUAGCGAGUAGCGACUGACGAUGGCAGACCAAAGUGGUCCACGGCGUACUGAAACUGCACCAUUCAGUCCGAUUAGGGGACUCAUCUCAGACUCACAGUUACCCUCCUCUGGAGCCUCAGGAAGACCUCCAGACUGUUGGCCACCAACUGCACCAUUCAGUCCGACAAGGGGACCCGAUUCGGCCUCAGAAGCCAAGUGGUCCCGCUCCCCUGGAUGAUUCUCAGGACCUCCAGACCGUUGGCAACCAACCGCACCACUCAGUCCGAUUAGGGGACCCGUUUCGGACUCAGACGCGACGUUGUCCCGCUACUCUGGAGCUCCAGGAAGACCUCCAGACCGUUGGCAACCAACCGCCACACUCAGUCCGAUUACGGGACCCAUUUCGGACUCAGACGCGACGUUGUCCCGCUACUCUGGAGCUCCAGGAAGACCUCCAGACCGUUGGCAACCAACCGCCACACUCAGUCCGAUUACGGGACCCAUUUCGGGCUCAGACGCGACGUUGUCCCGCUAAUCUGGAGCUCCAGGAUGGUAGAUAUUAUGACCCCUGGGAGUCUAAACAUAACCCAUGGGAGUCUAAACAUAACCCAUGGGAGUCUAGAACUUUUGUACUGUAGCGACCCUGGGACAGUUAAAUACUUUGUGUGUUAUGUGUUACAUUAUAUUUCGUUGUCCGUUAUGCCAGUUCAAUGUGCAUGUAUUGUAAUGUUCUUCUUGUCAAUCAGCGUGGGGGCGAAUCAUUAGGUCAGCUGGGGGAGGGCCUUGGAAGAACAGGAGGGUGGGGGCCUGCACGCGAGUGAGACCGUGUUGGGGGUUGCCGGGGUAACUGGGGUUUGUUUUGUGUCGGUUUUCUGCCGUUGGUUACAAUGUUACGGGUUUCAGUGACCUGGUUUUGGUUCAUUAAAACUACCUUCAACUACUAAUGACUCGACAUCAUUAUGUCACCGGCGAGGUCGUUACAUUUUAAAAUAACGCUUAGGGGGUGGGGCAUUGGAGGAAGGCGGGAUGAUUUGAAUGUGCUGUAAUUCUCAAAUGCAACAAAGGUGAGAGUCCCUUUAAGAGAUCGGAUAAUGGCCGGAGCAUGGCUGAUUCCGCUACCCUAGGUGGCGCUGUAGCCCUUACAAGUUGUUAUAGAGCCACUUCCGGUUGACCUCUACGUCCCAGCAACAACAAACACAGGCGGCAUUCGAGAAAGUUCACCAGUUCACUUCGGGUCCACCGUCCAUGUCCUUUCUCAGACGAUCCACUGUUCCGACCUCUGGGUCGUUUGCGGACUCCUCCGGCGGCGGAGCAGCAGGAGGAGUUCAGCCGCAGGAGUGUCGGAGAAAUGGAGCGUCGGAGAAAUGACAAACCCGAAGUGAACUGACAGCUGUCCCGCGUACGGCAACAAUCCCUUUCUCCUCCAUGUCGCGUUUCAAUCUGGAGUCAGAGUCAAAGCCAAAAUAAAUUCGCAUUUUAAAAGUCCGGUUGAGGUCUUAUUCAUUUCUUUAUCCGAAAAUGACUGCAUGUAAACGCACUGAUUGUGGGAAGUAGAUGAUAUGUCACGGACCAGGUGGAUCCCCAGUGCAGAAUAAAAACAAAGCAUUUGAAGCAUCGAGAGGAGGCAGGGGGAAGAUGAAUUGGUAAAUGGAGUGUGAAAUAUGGGGAAGUGUGUUGGGGAGAGAGACCAGGAUGAGGGGAACGCGGAAAUAUAACGGAGACUAGAAUAGAUGGAUGGUAAUCAAGGCAGAUUAAUAGAAGUUGAGAGUGAGGGAGCAAAGGCAGCGAGCUAAAGGGUUGAAGAGGAGUUGGUUAGAGGGAGAUGGAUAGUGAGAUUGAAAGAGAGAAUACAUGAAGAGGGACGCUGGAACAAGGAAGGAUGGGGAGAAGAAGUGAGACUACCUGAUGAUUCCAAGCCUUUUGCACACGCACGCCCCGAGCACACCUUCUAAAGAGAAAAACUCAGGAUUUACACCACACACGGGUAAACAAAUACAAACACAUAAACCUCAGAGAUGGGCUGUUAUUAGGCAAUUUAUAUGCAGGGCAUCUGAAUCAAACUGACUGACCUAUGCCUCCUCAGUGAGUUCACAGCACAAGUGUGCAUGCGAGUAUGGGCUAAGGGCUGGAUUUGUGUUGUCUUCUCCCAAUCCAUUGAUGUCUCUUUGCAUCGUGUGUGUGUGUGUGUGUGUGUGUGUGUGUGUGUGUGUGUGUGUGUGUGUGUGUGUGUGUGUGUGUGUGUGUGUGUGUGUGUGUGUGUGUGUGUGUGUGUGUGUGUGUGUGUGUGUGUGUUAGAGCCCGAACGAUUUAUCGGUGGGCCGAUAUUAUCGGCCAAUAUUAGGCAUUUUCCAAACUAUCGGUAUCAGCAUUUAAAAUUGCAGAUGGCAGAAAGGACUUUGAGUUUCAUAUCUUAAGUUUGUAUUUCUAUACAUUUUAUUUAUGUGUGUGUGUGUGUGUGUGACGUCAGCGAGUGAGUGGACGAGCAAGGAGAGCGAGCGCUAGUGUGUCAGUUUAGUGUAGUAAUGAACGAGUCUGGUUGUGAUAAUAGAAGAAUAAAGUACCCAGCCUAUCACGAAUCGGUGGCCGCUACAAUCCAACCAUAUUCCAACCAUAUUCCGACCGCAGACCAACUGCCGGUCAAAAUAAAGGGUGUUGCCCCUGAGAGGGCAUCGGCCCUGGAGGGAACGUCUCACCUGUGCUCCUCGACUACGGUCUGGGAGCCGACAGCAGGAAAGGUGUAACACUAACCAUCUCAUAGUUGGAGGCGGAGCGCAAGAGGGUAUACAUGCUCUAAUAGUGCAUGUUAACAAUAAAGCACAUAUAAUUUAAUGAUUUUAGCUUGUGUGCGAUUUAUCGUGGGCAAGGGUCGGUUAACGGGCCAAAUAUUAACGGGUCCGGAGAGGUGCAGAUUUUAUUUUGAUAUUAUCACGUGACGGGCCGCACACUUUGCGGGUAGGGUGGGGGCGGGACUCAAACAGUGGACCCAUGCAGGACUCUGGCCGAGACUAUUGGAAAUAAACAAAAUAUUGGAAAGCAGUGUUGGUUGAGCCGCAUUUGGGCACGGUGGUUGGGUCCGCACGAGAAAGUAUCUUUAAAGGAAUUGUCGCAUGGUAUAUCCAUAGAUCUGGUAGGUCAAAUGGUUUUCCACGUCAGCUGAGCUACGAUGCUGUCCAUGAUGCUGACAAUGUCCAGCACCAGAUCCGCCUCGUCACCCGUGUUAAUAUCAAAAAGAAAUCCGCAUUCGCCGAUACCCGCUAAUAUGUGGCCCGUUACCCGACCCGUGCCCGCGAUAAAUCACACACGAGCAAAAAUCAUUCAAAUUAAUGUGCUUUAUUUUUAUCUCGCACUAUUGGAGCACGUAUACCCGUCACACACGCAC